rnacentral:rRNA from 1 species
UAAGGAAUAUUGGACAAUGGAGGCAACUCUGAUCCAGCCAUGCCGCGUGAAGGAAUAAGGCCCUAUGGGGUGUAAACUUCUUUUAGACGGGACAAAACCCCUUUACGUGUAAAGGGUUGAUGGUACUGUCAGAAUAAGCAUCGGCUAACUUCGUGCCAGCAGCCGCGGUAAUACGAAGGAUGCAAGCGUUAUCCGGAAUUGUUGGGUUUAAAGGGUGGGUAGGCGGACUAAUAAGUCAGUGGUGAAAGCCUGCAGCUUAACUGCAGAAUUGCCAUUGAUACUGUUAGUCUUGAGUACAGUUGAGGUAGGCGGAAUGUGUCAUGUAGCGGUGAAAUGCUUAGAUAUGACACAGAACCCCGAUUGCGAAGGCAGCUUGCUAAGCUGUAACUGACGCUGAGGCACGAAAGCGUGGGGAGCAAACA